rnacentral:tRNA from 3 species
GGCCCCAUCGUCUAGUCAGGUCCAGGACACAAGGUUUUCAUCCUUGGAACAGGGGUUCGAAUCCCCUUGGGGUCA